rnacentral:rRNA from 1 species
UACGUAGGGCGCAAGCGUUAUCCGGAAUUAUUGGGCGUAAAGAGCUCGUAGGCGGUUUGUCGCGUCUGCCGUGAAAGUCCGGGGCUCAACUCCGGAUCUGCGGUGGGUACGGGCAGACUAGAGUGUGGUAGGGGAGACUGGAAUUCCUGGUGUAGCGGUGAAAUGCGCAGAUAUCAGGAGGAACACCGGUGCGAAGGCGGGUCUCUGGGCCGAUACUGACGCUGAGGAGCGAAAGCGUGGGGAGCGAACAGG